CGCGUAGGCGGCCUGGUCAGUCGGAUGUGAAAGCCCCGGGCUUAACCUGGGAAUUGCAUUCGAUACUGCCAGGCUAGAGUGUAGUAGAGGGAAGUGGAAUUCCGGGUGUAGCGGUGAAAUGCGUAGAUAUCCGGAGGAACAUCAGUGGCGAAGGCGACUUCCUGGACUAACACUGACGCUGAGGUGCGAAAGCGUGGGGAGCAAACA
rnacentral:rRNA from 1 species